GAUGAAGAACGCAGCGAAAUGCGAUAAGUAAUGUGAAUUGCAGAAUUCAGUGAAUCAUCGAAUCUUUGAACGCACAUUGCGCCCGCCAGUAUUCUGGCGGGCAUGCCUGUCCGAGCGUCAUUUCAACCAUCAAGCCCCCGGGCUUGUGUUGGGGACCUGCGGCUGCCCGCAGGCCCUGAAAACCAGUGGCGGGCUCGCUGUCACACCGAGCGUAGUAGCAAUCACCUCGCUCAGGGCGUGCUGAGGGUUCCGGCCGUUAAACAGCCUUACAAAACCCAAGGUUGACCUCGGAUCAGGUAGGAAGACCCGCUGAACUUAAGCAUAUCAAUAAGCGGAGGA
rnacentral:misc_RNA from 1 species